rnacentral:misc_RNA from 1 species
GGUAGAUGCUCUCGCGAGGACAGUGGAGCUGGGCCGGCGCUAUUUCCCAAAUUGCUCAGAAGUUCUUGAUAAGUUCUUGGAGGAUGAUCAACCCGAUCUUUUCUACCUCCAGACGGGCACCCCCGACGAGCAGAAGAUGAAAAAAAUGCGCUUCUCUGAACUCAAGACUGAUUUUCAGAAGGCAUUCACUAAGGACAAGGCGGUUAGCGUACGCACCGGUCUAUCAUCGUCCUCAUCGUCCACAUCCUCGUUGAAGCGAGAGCAGAAACACCAAAAUACCGCAAAAAAACGAAGUCACAAAGUUUCCG